rnacentral:tRNA from 2 species
GGGGGUAUAGCUCAGUUGGCUAGAGCGCCUGGCUGGCAGCCAUGAGGUCAUGGGUUCGAGCCCCAUUACCUCCA